rnacentral:rRNA from 1 species
CUUCCGUAAGGGGGACCUGCGGAAGGAUCAUUACCGAGUGUAGGGUUCCUAGCGAGCCCAACCUCCCACCCGUGUUUACUGUACCUUAGUUGCUUCGGCGGGCCCGCCAUUCAUGGCCGCCGGGGGCUCUCAGCCCCGGGCCCGCGCCCGCCGGAGACACCACGAACUCUGUCUGAUCUAGUGAAGUCUGAGUUGAUUGUAUCGCAAUCAGUUAAAACUUUCAACAAUGGAUCUCUUGGUUCCGGCAUCGAUGAAGAACGCAGCGAAAUGCGAUAACUAGUGUGAAUUGCAGAAUUCCGUGAAUCAUCGAGUCUUUGAACGCACAUUGCGCCCCCUGGUAUUCCGGGGGGCAUGCCUGUCCGAGCGUCAUUGCUGCCCAUCAAGCACGGCUUGUGUGUUGGGUCGUCGUCCCCUCUCCGGGGGGGACGGGCCCCAAAGGCAGCGGCGGCACCGCGUCCGAUCCUCGAGCGUAUGGGGCUUUGUCACCCGCUCUGUAGGCCCGGCCGGCGCUUGCCGAACGCAAAUCAAUCUUUUCCAGGUUGACCUCGGAUCAGGUAGGGAUACCCGCUGAACUUAAGCAUAUCAAAAGCCGGAGGAA